AGGGCAGGAGGUAUCUAAUCUGUUUUCAGUUCUUUGGGGUAUUUGAGAAAGUCGUACGCAAGCUUAGGAAAGCACUUGGGGAGGGGCAGAUUAAAUGGAAGAGAAUCCUCCAUUGCAGGACUAGGUGUUGUACUGACCUUGUGAAUUAAGCUCUUCCCCUCUUUGAUGAUACAAGAUCAUGCCGCGAGCUAGCAAGUAUGUCUUCACAUUAGGGAGAGACGGUCUGGUCCUCCUCUUCCCAGCAGGCAGAACAAAUAGCCAGCAGGCGAUGAGGCAGGAUUUGCUGGGGUUGGAGCUACUGCAGCUUCCUGGACAAGUGAGAACAUGCAGGUGUCAGUCCCCUGCUGCAAGCCAAGCAGGUCACAGGGCAGUGGCCCAGUGGCCCACCCUGCUCCUCUCCCUCAAGGUUCAUUUUUCAUUUUGAUUGAGUCAUGAUGGCUCAGCGACACAAAACAUCUGAGGACAUGCCUUGUAGGGGAAAGGUCACAAAGAACGCCAGUGGUCUCCUCUUCCCUAAAGUCUAGGGCUCGCUCACGUGGAAUUGUUGGUUAAGGAUGGGCCAGCGGGGCUGGUGCAGGGCUCAGUCUUUCUCCGCGAAUGGCAGGAGCAGGCCUCCGUCUUGCUAGCUUCAGGGUUGCCCGGCUGCCUGGUUUCAACUGAGGCAGCACAGCUUGCUUUAGCUUUGAAGUGUGAAAACCAAAUACCGGUUGGCAGAGGGAAGAGAUGGGAGCUGCGUAACUGUCUCGGAGCACGAAGAAACACACUCAGCGCUACUGAACGUCGAAACUUUUCCUGUCCCCUUACCCAUCCCUCAUCCCACCCCCACCCCUGAAAACUGUGACAACAGUAGCAGGCCUGGUUGGCUGGCUGUUCUGUAGUGGCUGGUGGGCAGAUGCUGUGAGCGUCUUAAAUAUGAGAAGGGACCGAGCAGACACUUCCCCUCCAGCUGUCUGGUCUGUGUCCUCCUAACCUGCCCGAGACAGGCAGGGGCACGCGCGCGUGCAUGCACACACUCACACACGCACACGCACACGGAAGCCUGACUUUGGUUUGUCCCAGCACCCUGAACAGUGAUUUAGGCUACUGGAUUGUCUAUCCCUUCUGUGUCCUAGGGAAGAUUUUAGAAAUUCUCAUACAGGAGGCUGAGAAAGGAAAAUAUUGGUUCCUACAGUACAAACAUCUCCGUCCUGAAAGAAAAUGUUAAUUUUCCCCUAAAUCAAAUGUUGACAUGCAUCAGCUGCCGCUGAAGGUGUGUCGCUGUGGGAGAAGAACGCCACGCCGGAGUCUGUCCUCAGAAAAGCUAGCUGGUUUAGGAUCUAAACAGGUCUGAUGUAGAGGUUUUGUGAAGCGUUGCAGGUAGUUUUCAAAAAGCUCAUCUCUCUGGGACACCCUCCUGAGCAGGAAGCGGGGGCAGGGUUCCACCCUGUGGGAGGCACCCUUUUCUGCAGAAGUCAGGGUCCCUCCAUUGGCAUCUGCAGUGAUGCCAGGAGAUAGAGGGUUUUAACUGGAGAUGAGAGGUGGGAGGGGGAGGCUGGCGGAGUGGUGAAAGGACAGACUCCACAGGCAGAGGGAAAUUUCCAGCGCUAGAUGCUUUCCCUGCCUCUUUCCCCACUGCCCCCAAAGCAUACACUUGAAAUAUUCGUCUUUGUUCAACACCUAUGUUUUUAAAAUUCCAAAUUAAGUUCCCCCACCCACUCUCUCCCUCCAACUAGUCACACACACACACACACACACACACACACACACACACCCUUUUAACUUGUUAAGUAUGAACGAUGAUGAUAUAUACAACCAGCGUGCUUUGCCAGUCUGCACGGGGAAGGCCAAGAUGAAUGCAGAAGGUUGGUGCAACGUUGCCGCAGAGCAGCGUGAUCAGAAUGCAAGAUGGAGCCCAGGGGGAAAGGCCAAGAAAUAUGCCUGCGCUUGGAGUUUACACAAGUCUCCUUAGCAACUUGUCUGAAUUUAUUUUUCCCUUAAUGUGUAUGGGUUUCUUCCAAACCCUGAGUGAAACGGUUUCUCCUCCCUGAGGGCGACGCCGUUUAGUGGGUGAGGGAGCCUUUCUCUUCCUCACCAGCUUCUUCCCACCCCUCCCCCUCCCCGUCUAGGUAGCUUGAUCCUUCGCAUUGUGACUCUGUGGAUGGUUGGUAGCUUUCCAGAAAUUCACGUCUCAGUGGGGGAACGGUGGGGCCUGUUUCCGAUGGCCACAGCUGUGCAGAUUUCUGCCGCAGCCUCCUGCUCGCCGUGCCUGCUCUCGUGCGUGCUGUUAGGAAAAAAACCUGACUUCUGGGAAUCUGAUCUGUUGGAUUUAUGUGACUGGGCUUGCUUCAGGGGAGACAGCCAUAAAUACUGCAGCGGUUUUCCCUAAAAUUGCUUUACCUUGAAAUAACUCUAGGGGAGUACGGUGGCUGCCUCGUUGGAGCCGACAUUGAAUACAAAUCUUAAUAUUUCUUUUUGCCCCCUCCCCUUUUAGAGUCAGGGACAAAAGGAAAAAAGAAACCUAGCCAGAAAACGUUAAGGUUUGACUUUGGCUUUUUUUUUUUUACAAACAGAUGUUGCUUGUCAUACUGUUGUUGUUAGGCAGGUACCAGAUUGGACCAAGUGGUGGGGGGGGUGUGUGUGUGUGAGAGAGAGAGUGUGAGAACGAGAUGGGGAGAGGAGGAGAAUGGGAGCGCUGGGUGUGGGUAGGAGGCUGGAAGGCAAAAACUGAUCGGUUUGGGGAAAAGUUGAGAGCAGGAAGUGGGUAAUACAGAUUAAUACCUUUUUUCCUUUCCAAACUUCAAUUCGAUGGUAAAUAAAUACAAUCGUAUUCUAUCUGGUGGGUUUUGGUUGUUCCAAAGGAAGGGGGAAAUGUGGAAAGCCGUUGACAGGGAGAGCCAGCCCUGGAGGAGAAAAGCGAAGGUCUCCUGGGGUGCGAGGCAGAGAGGGGGCUGCUAGGCUGUUCAGGUGCUCCCCCAGGUGAAUCUGCCCUGGAGUAAGGAGGGUCUCUGUUGCCACUGAACUCAGUUGCUUGUGUUUGAUGGUUGCUGCUUUUUGUAGGUAGCCUUGUGGAGGUUCCUGGCUCUUUUGUACUUUUCCCAGAGUAAGAAUCUCAUCGUUAGAUGGCCAGGGUUCUAAGGAAGUACGGACUCUUUACCUACUGUGUGUUUCCCUCUUUGCAGGAUCCAAAUGGUCUAAUCCUCAUUUUCCCUCCAGCCACCCCGAACCCUCACUUAAUUUACAGCUUUCUAAUCUGAUUGUGGUGGGCUUUCUCAAGAGUAAAACAUAGCUUUGAACAUCACAAGUGUUAAAGUUGCCCGGCAUAUAGAAGGCUUUGUGUGGUGUAUCAUUUGCUUAUAUUCAAGAAAUGACAGACCUCUGAUUUUUCUAAAAGCAUGUGUCUCAUGUUUCCGUAUCAGAAUCAGGGUCUUCUGCAUUGAAAAAAAAAAAAAAAAGAAAAAGUUUGGUUCUUUUCAAAGCCUUUUGGGCUUUAUUAACAAUAUAGCUAGAAAGGAAGUUGUAGGCUAGCAUCCUGGUUUGCAUUUUAAGAAGGAAGAAAAAUUGUCAUCCUGAGCAAACUUAAUGCUUUCAAAAGUGAAAGUGGUCUCCUCAGCCAGCUGCACGCAGAACAACUUGUUACAGGCAGCCUCUCUCUCUUUUGUUUCCCCGGGUGUGUCAAAAGCAAAUUUGCCUCCAACUUCUCACUCUUAUAUAGUUGAUCCCUGUUAUACAUCUGUGGUGAAUGAACACUUAAGUGGGUUUAAGAUUGUUUUUAAAUUAC
rnacentral:lncRNA from 1 species